rnacentral:rRNA from 1 species
UACGAAGGGGGCUAGCGUUGCUCGGAAUCACUGGGCGUAAAGCGCGCGUAGGCGGAUCGUUAAGUCGGGGGUGAAAUCCUGGAGCUCAACUCCAGAACUGCCUUUGAUACUGGCGAUCUUGAGUCCGGGAGAGGUGAGUGGAACUCCGAGUGUAGAGGUGAAAUUCGUAGAUAUUCGGAAGAACACCAGUGGCGAAGGCGGCUCACUGGCCCGGUACUGACGCUGAGGUGCGAAAGCGUGGGGAGCAAACAGGG